GCAGAGCAUCCUACGGGAGGCAGCAGUGGGGAAUAUUGCACAAUGGGCGCAAGCCUGAUGCAGCCAUGCCGCGUAUAUGAAGAAGGCCUUCGGGUUGUAAAGUACUUUCAGCAGUGAGGAAGGUGGGUAUGUUAAUAGCAUAUUCAUUUGACGUUAGCUGCAGAAGAAGCACCGGCUAACUCCGUGCCAGCAGCCGCGGUAAUACGGAGGGUGCGAGCGUUAAUCGGAAUUACUGGGCGUAAAGCGCAUGCAGGUGGUUUGUUAAGUCAGAUGUGAAAGCCCGGGGCUCAACCUCGGAAUUGCAUUUGAAACUGGCAAACUAGAGUACUGUAGAGGGGGUAGAAUUUCAGGUGUAGCGGUGAAAUGCGUAGAGAUCUGAAGGAAUACCGGUGGCGAAGGCGGCCCCCUGGACAGAUACUGACACUCAGAUGCGAAAGCGUGGGGAGCAAACAGGAUUAGAUACCCUGGGAAG
rnacentral:rRNA from 1 species